rnacentral:rRNA from 1 species
GAUGAACGCUGGCGGUAUGCUUAACACAUACAAGUCGAACGGUCACUUCGGUGAUAGUGGCGGACGGGUGAGUAACGCGUGAGAAUCUGUCUUCAGGUCGGGGACAACAGUUAGAAAUGACUGCUAAUACCGGAUGUGCCUUUGGGUGAAAGAUUUAUUGCCUGAAAAAGAGCUCGCGUCAGAUUAGCUAGUAGGUGGUGUAAGAGACUACCUAGGCUCCGAUCUGUAGCUGGUCUGAGAGGACGAUCAGCCACACUGGAACUGAGACACGGUCCAGACUCCUACGGGAGGCAGCAGUGGGGAAUUUUCCGCAAUGGGCGAAAGCCUGACGGAGCAAUACCGCGUGAGGGACGAAGGCUUUUGGGUCGUAAACCUCUUUUCUCAAGGAAGAUGAUGACGGUACUUGAGGAAUAAGCAUCGGCUAACUCUGUG